rnacentral:rRNA from 1 species
GACGUAGGAGGCGAGCGUUAUCCGGAUUCACUGGGCGUAAAGCGCACGUAGGCGGACUCUUAAGUCGGUGGUGAAAUCCUGGAGCUCAACUCCAGAACUGCCUUCGAUACUGGGAGUCUCGAGUCCGGGAGAGGUGAGUGGAACUGCGAGUGUAGAGGUGAAAUUCGUAGAUAUUCGCAAGAACACCAGUGGCGAAGGCGGCUCACUGGCCCGGUACUGACGCUCAUGUGCGAAAGCGUGGGGAGCAAACAGG